GUAGGAGUUCAGAUGAAGUCCACCUGCAAUAGAAAUUCAGGGUAGAGGUCCGGCUCUCGUGGGAGCUCGGGUGAAAUCCAGAAGGCGGUCGACCGCUGUAGAAACUUGGAUGGAGUCUGGUUACUAUGAAAGUCCUACUGUUGGGGAAGCUCAGUUAUUGACAAAGUCUGGAGGAAGUUCGGAGUAGAGUCGAUCGUGGCUGGAAGAAGUCUGGAAGAGAUUCGG
rnacentral:lncRNA from 1 species